rnacentral:rRNA from 1 species
GACGAACCGUCCGAACGUUAUUCGGAAUCACUGGGCUUAAAGGGUGCGUAGGUGGGUUGGUAAGUCAGUGGUGAAAUCCCCGAGCUUAACUUGGGAACUGCCAUUGAUACUAUCAGUCUUGAAUACCGUGGAGGUCAGUGGAAUAUGUCAUGUAGCGGUGAAAUGCUUAGAUAUGACAUAGAACACCAAUUGCGAAGGCAGCUGGCUACACGAAUAUUGACACUGAGGCACGAAAGCGUGGGGAUCAAACAGG